ensembl:lncRNA
GCCCCAUGUCCUUGGCCAGGGCAGCUGCAGAGGCCCUGCCUUUCGGACUCCCAGGAGGAAUAAACUGUCCCCUGCCCCGUUCUCCCAUCGUGUGUGUCACAGUCCUCUACCUACCUGGCAGUGACCCCUCGGGCUGGACCGUGCUGUUUGUCCGUGGGUGUCUUUCUACCUCUGUGUCCUCUCCUUCCGCCAGGGCCCUGUGGACCAGUGGUCAAGAUCAGACAUGUGACACGGGGAAUGAGCGGAUGGAUGAGUGGAUGGAUGGAUGGCUUGGCAGAGCUGGGGAGGCAUAAUGGUCACACUUGAAACUAUCCUCGACUCUCCCUGCAGAUUCCAGUUUGCUUUCUGGAUUUCUGUACCCGGAGCAGUUAAGCUCUUCCCUCAUCCCCUACCAUUAUAUGCUAACCUAUCGCUGGGGAUCGGUUCUCCAGCUCCAGCUCUCUUUGCUCCCAGGAAGAGCUUUUUAUUAACUGCAACGUUAUAACGCUCAUUCUUAUCUCCAUAAACUUAAAUUGCACUUUUCAAGGCCAAAUCUCCAUGACCUAAUUUCCUUCCCUGCGUCGACUGGACUGGAGGGACAGAAGCUCCCACCUCGCAGACACCACGGCUACUAACGAUAGCGGGCAUGUGGGGGCUGGAACUUAGACCUCGGAGUAGGGAGCACCCCGCCCCCCGCCCGUGUGUGACUCAGACGCCCCUUUUCAUCAGUGGCCUUCCGCGGCUCGUGGAACUUCCUGCCAGAGCUUGGGCUGCUCUGGAAGGUUCCCCACCUCGGUUCAGCGCUCACAACAUUGCUGCAAACAGUGCUCCCUGCUUCUCUGCACAAACCAGCUCCCCGCAGCCAGCGACCCAGCGCUGUGCUGUUUGCAGUCGGUUGUCGCAGGCUGGAGGAAGCAUUGCAAAUAUGCACAGCCGCUGCCAACGCUGCCAGCGGGGAGCCAGUCGGUCCUGUCGGCCCCACCCUGCCCCACAGCCAAGUUGAAUUUUGCAUUUCUGCGAUACUUAUCAGAGGCAGGUGCGGUGCCUCCUCCCUCGGCUUUCUGCUGGGUGCAGAGGGCAGCGGAUUGGGCGUGAUGGCUCAGCCUUGCGGUGGGGGGAGAGGUAGCGGCCUGAGCUCACAGAGGAGCAGGAGGUGACCUGGGCGAGCCCGAGCUGACAGGCGGGACAGGCAGCUGGCACGGAAGGGCACUGAGACACCAUCUUCCCGGAACGCUUCCUCCCGCGUCGGGGUGGGCAGUGUGGGCUUCAUGCGGAACCCUGGGACACCAGGCAAACAGCGGUAGCCUUGGUGGCAGCACCAGGAACCGCUUCACCAGGGAUCAGACCGCAGCGCACACACAGGACAUGUCCCUCCGCAGCCGCUGCUCUGGGGCUAAGUCCCCCCAGCA